UCCUCUCCUAUGACCGUGACGAGGGCGGC
rnacentral:sRNA from 1 species